rnacentral:lncRNA from 1 species
GAGAAAGAAUAGGUCAGAAGCAAUAGUAAAAGACAUAAUAACUUGAGAAUCUUCCAAAACUAAUACAGACUUGCAUAUUUGAGAAUCACUGUAGCUCUAAGCAGAAUCAAUACCAAAAAACAAAAAUAAAGGGAAAAGAGAGGAAAAAUUGCCAAAACAAAGAAAAUCUUAAAAUCAGCCAAAGGAGGAAAAAGAUACAUUACCUUCAAAGGAGCGGCAGUAAAGACGGACAGUCUACUUUGCAAAGAAAUGGAAAUCAAAAUACAGUGGAACGAUAUCUUCAAAGUGUUGUAAGAAAAUAACUGCCAACCUAGAAAUCUGUAUGAAGCAAAAAUAUCUUUCAAAAAUGAAGUGAGAAUAUAGACAUCUUCAGACAGACAAAAAUUAGAAUUCAUCACCAGCAGAUCUACACUAGAGGUACUAUAAAGAAAGUUCUUCAGGUAAAAGGAAAAUUAUCCCAGCUGGAAGCAUGGAGAUGCAGGAAGGAGUAAAGAGCACUGGAAAGGAUAGAUAGACGAAUACAUCUAAAAUAAUGUGAACUGUGUAAAACAGUAAAAAUAUUGAUAGGUGCAGCAAACCACCAUGGCACACGUUUACCUGUGUAACCUGCACAUCCUGCGCAUGUACCUGGAACUUAAAAAUUUUUAAAGUAAAAAUAAUAAAUGGCAACAGCAACACAGAAAGCUGGAAGAGAGUUCUGAUGGGGGAAAAACACAGGUUAUUUUUCCUCGGCUCUCACUCUACAACAGUGAUCAUCACAGAGGACUUCUUUGACCAAAUGUGUGGAUUUCUCCCCACGUGCCAAGCAAGCAGUCAGUUCUGCAGUGGACACCAGCUGGGUCGGUCUCAACACAGAAGACUUCUGUGAGCAAAUGUGUGAGGGUUUCUUCUCACACAUCAAACAAGCAAGGAGUUCUGCUGUGGAUAUCAGGUGGGUACCCUCCAAUUCCAUUUCAACAUUAUCUACCUGGAGAUAACUCAGAUCUCACAGGUUGAAGACUCAGUCUCCAGGACUGUCCCUCCUUGAGACACCAGUUGCAAGUCUGGGCCUCCAGAACUUCUGACCCACUAGCUUCAAGUUGGGAUUCCCACCACCCCUCUUUGGGUUCAGUUAAUUUGCUAGAGUGGCUCACAGAACUCAGGGAAAUAAUUACGUUUACCAGGUUAUUACAAAGGAUAUUAUGAAGGAAACAGAUGAAGAAAUGCCUAGAACAAGGUAUGGGGGGUGGGUGCUUCCAUGCCCUCUCUGUUGCACCGCCCUCCUGGCAUCUCCAUUUGCUCGGGCAUUUGGAAGCUCUCCAAACCCAAUCCUUUUGGGUUUGUUUUGUUUUGUUAUGUUUUUUGGUUUUUUGGUUUUGGAGGCAGUCUCACUCUAUUGUCCAGGCUGGAGUGCAGUGGUGCAGUUACGGCUCACUGCAGCCUCAACCUCCUGGACUCAAGCCAUCCUCCCACCUCAGCCUCCUGAGUAGCUGGGACUCCAGGCACGUACCAUCAUGCUAGGCUAAUUUUUUAAAAAAAAUUUUGUAGAGGUGGGGGUCCCACUGUGUUGGCCAAACUAGUCCCACCUUGGCCUCCCAAAGUGCUGGGAGCCACUGCUCCUAGCCCCUUUUGGGUUUUUAUGAGAACUUCAUUAUGAAGGCAUCAUUGAUUAAGCCAUUGGCCAUUGGUGAUCAACUUAACCUUCAGCCCCUCUACCCUCCCUGGAGAUUGGAGGGUAGGGCUGAAAGUCCUAACCUUCUAAUCCUGCCUUGGUGUUUAUGGAGACCAGCCCCCAUCCUGAAGCUAACAAGAGGCUGCCAGCUAUCAGUCAACUCAUUAGCAUACAAAAAGACAUUACUUUGGAGUUUGGAAGGAUUUUAGGAAUUAUAUGCCAGGAAGCAGGAUCGAAGACCAAAUAUAUAUUUCACAAUAUUACAAAGAUAAAUAUAGUUUAAAUGUCCUCAGGUCUUUGUAAUUUAUAUUAGAUUUUAAUGAGUCAGAGAUAGUAAUAUCUAGGGUAGUCCUUCUCAAUCACAUUUGGUGAGAGAAUCACAUCAUAAUGUUCAAAGACAGCAAACUUCAACCUGUGGGUCAAAUCUGGCCUGCCACCUAUUUUAGUAAAUAAUGUUUUAUUGGUGGAACACCGCUAUGCCCGUUAGUUUACAUAUUGUCUAUGGCUGGAUUCAUGCUGCACCGCCAGAAUUGAGUAGCUGCUACAGAGACAUUGUGGUCCACAAAGCUUACAUUUAUUGUCUAGCCCUUGAUAGAAGAGAUUUGACAACCCCUAGGUAUUGUGGACUGAGUGUGUGUGUUCCCCAAAGAUUUGUAUGUUGAAAUUCUAACCUCCAGCGUGAUGGUGUUAGGAGGUGGGGCCUUUGGGAGGUAUUUAGUUCGUGAAGGUGGAACCCUCACAAAUGGGAUUAGAGACACAGAGUUCUUGCUUCUUUCUGUCUACUCUCUGCCAUAUGGGGACACAGCAAGAAGAAUGCCAUCUGCAAGCCAGGAAGAGGGUCUUCACCAGAACUUGACCAUGAUGGAACCCUGGUCUUGGAGGGUCUAUAGAACCCAGCCUCUAGAACUAUGAGAAAUGUUUGUUGUGUGAGCCACCCGGUCUAUGGUAUUUUUGUUAGUAGCAGCCAGAACUAAGACAUCUGUGCUAAGGCAUCUAUUAUAUAUUAUGAAUUAACUUCUUUACAUUUAGAAUGCCUUGUAAGAACUGAAAAAAAAAAUAGUCACUCAGAAUGUUUUCUGCAGGACAUAAUUCUUUCAUAGAACUUGAGUUGAUUAACUCUAGAGUAAUCACUAAAAGGAUAGAAAGAGAAUUUAUAGCUACCAAGCUAAUAGAGAAGGAGAAAGGAAAUAAAAUAAUAAAAACCAUUUACUGUCC